GACGGAGGGGGCUAGCGUUGUUCGGAAUGACUGGGCGUAAAGGGCGCGUAGGUGGUUUUUCAAGUGAGGCGUGAAAGCCCCGGGCUUAACCUGGGAACUGCGUUUCAUACUGGAUGACUAGAGGACGAGAGAGGAAAGUGGAAUUCCGAGUGUAGAGGUGAAAUUCGUAGAUAUUCGGAGGAACACCAGAGGCGAAGGCGGCUUUCUGGCUCGUAUCUGACGCUGAGGCGCGAAAGCGUGGGGAGCAAACAGG
rnacentral:rRNA from 1 species